GCACGUGUGGCGGAAUUGGUAGACGCACUAGACUUAGGAUCUAGCGGUUAAUUCCAUGGGGGUUCGAGUCCCUUCACGUGCACCA
rnacentral:tRNA from 1 species